AAAAAAAAAGUAAGGUAUGUUAAUCAAGCCUGAAGUAAGGUGGUAACUGGCGAUUCUAAAGCCAUUAGUAAACUACAUAGUCUACAUGUAAAAUAACUUAAUUAUAAGCAUUCACAUAAUAUAAAAGAAAAUGAAGGGAUGACAAAUGUCAAGUGUUUUAUUUAUUAUUAAACCGUAUUAUGCAGAAAUGAAAGUAACUAAGUAUGUAACUUGUUUUCAAAAAAUUGAUUCCAAGAUUUUCGACUUUUCCAAAAUAAAUUAAUAAUUGAUUAUAUUAUUUUGGUUUCUUCACUCGUACGUAACAAAUCUUUUAAAGUAAACGAGGAAAUGGGAGGUCUAUAUAUUUAUAUGAAUUUUCAACGAUUACUAUAUUAUCUUUACUCUAUAGUCACCCACGAAGGUUGACUUGUGACAUUUGAAUCUGAACACGAUACCAAAAUUUCUCACGAGUAAGAGAGCAAGUUGUUUUGUCUUAAUUGCGGAUACACUUACUCCUCAAAUUAAAUACGGAGUAUAGUUUUUCCUCUUAUUGAAGACAUUAUAUUUUUAUUUUCUUUUUAUUAGAGUAACAUAAUUUUCGUUAUUUAUGUGCUUCUAAAUCAUCUGAUUCAUGCACUUAUAAAAAAUGUCUAUAUUAAGGAAGAGAUAAGAUCAAACAAAUACGUUUUCAAGAAAACGAAUCCUAAUUAAUGAUCCAGAAAAUUGGAAAACAUAAUUUGAAAAUUUUUUUUAAAGCAACAAUAAGAGAAUCACAAACAAAUGAAGCUCAGAUUGAUCCAAAAUCACUACUGACAAAUACCUAACCGAGAUAGAAGAGGCAGAAUGGACAAAAUAACAUCAUUCAGCAACCAUACAAUUGCCAAAUUAUAUAUAAACAUCCGAAAACAUAAUGAAAAGAAAAACGUACAUGAAUAUACAACAGUCUUCUUGUUAUGUGUGUGGGAUAUGAUAUGAUCAAGUGUUUAAGGUAUAUGUCAGAAGAGUGCAGAGAGAAAGGUCCUCUAGUUUCCUCUAUUUCUGGGGAAAAUGAAGAGAGAUGGAAGGAGAGGAAGUGAAAUGAGCGUUGAAGCUGUUGAUGAACAAGGACAAAGUGCAAGCGUUUUGAAACGACCAUUUAUAAGCGACUCUAUAAGAGAUAUUCCAUUUUAUGUUUCGGUAUAUUCUCCCUCUAGCGACGCCGUUUUCUAUCUUCAAUAUUUUUUCUCUCUUUUUAUUACAACUUUUAUUUCGCUGUAAUUAUUCUUUUAUUAUCUAAAAACAGCUGUUUUACUAUAAUAAUAAGUUCUUGUUUUGUACUUGUAAUUGACCAUGAACUGUACUUAGAUACGGAGGUUUUGAUGUAUUUUUAUAAUAUUAAAUUGGGAUCUUCAACAUUAAGUACAAUCACUAGAUACCUAUUCCCUGGCAUGCUAUUUAGGCAGAUAUAAGAUUUAAAUCAUAAUAGAGUCAAAAUAGGGGUUAAAAAAUGAGAGACUUACAUAAAAAGACACAUUGUGAGUUUUGUUUACUCUAUAAGACACAAAGCAACUUUGACACACUUUUUCCUGCCAGCUGUCUUUAUUGAGACGGAAAUAACCUUGGUUAUUACUAAAGAAAAAUAUACUUAUUUUAAGGAAGCAAACCGAAAAAGAACCAGUUACCUUGUAAUUGCAAUAAAGGAUAAAGCAAAUAAAACAAAAAAUUAGAUAUAUGAGUUUAUGAGAAUAUAUCGUGAACGUCAGAUCAUUUUGAAGAAAGCAAAUCCAACGAUCCGGAGAUGUGUUGAUUUGUGGGCGAGUUUUUGUGGACGAAUUCUCAUGGACAAGGUUUCUCGUAGACAAUUUGUGGACACCAUAUAUGUGGACAAACAAAUUGGUAGACAAGAGAAGCGUUGAUAACAUGAUUUUAUCGAAUGUUAUAGAAAAUAAUUGCCUUCUUUGUCUGUCUAAGAAAAAAAUGAGAAUUGUUUAUUAACUUCUUGUAUACUCGAUUUAGAUAUUUAUAAAUUGAAUAAAGAAGAAAUUUUUUUGUGAAUCAAUGAAUUAUGGAUCUAAUUCGUCAUUUAGUAAAAUUUCUCUAUAAAAUCAUUCAUCAUUCAUCAUUAUCAUGAAACAACGAUUAAGCUUUUCUGUGGACACAAUUCAGUGGUCGAACACACUUCUGUGGACACAGUUUAUGUGGACGUGAAAAUGUUACAAAAUUUUCUGUGGACACCGUAUCUACCACCACCUUUUCCACCUCAUGUCUUCCACCUCAUAUUCACAUCCACCACCACAACAUCCACCAACACGGCAUCCACCACCACUUCCUCCUCCUCGCAUCUUCCACCUUUGUAUCCACAUCCACCACAACAGCAUCCACAGCCACGACAUCCACCACCACAUCCUCCUCCUCACGUCUUCCACCUCCGUAUCAACAUCCACCACCAUAGCAUCCACCAUCACGGCAUCCAUAAUCACCACCAGCUCUUCAUCCUCACGUCUUCCACCUCUGUAUCCACAUCCACCACAACGGCAUCCACCACCACCUCCUCCUCUCGAGUAGCCACCUCCACCACUGUUUUUACCCUCAUGAACCAAGAUAAAAAAUCAGACAAGAAAUUAACUUUCCAUAUAUGAAUCUGUUAGAUAUAUCUAUGAAAUUAGGAACAUAGAGUUAUGAUUGAGAAUGGAUUGGAGUUUCUGAAUUCAUGGUGUGACUCACCAAUGGUCGAGUAUGAAGAGUUGGCGGAACAGUUUCAGAUCGAACAAAAGCUAGAAGUGGAGACAUAAAGCUUCAACAAAGUGAUGGAGAUGUCGAAUUUGAGAAAGUGGAUUAGGGUUCGGAUCGAUCUGUAGUUUUAGUAGAAGUUGGUAAAGAGCCAAAAUUAGGGUUCAUAUCUGGGGGUAAUCGAUUUUGAAAAGGGGAUCUGUCUUACAAAAGUGAAAAAGAUUUUAUUAUAUUUCGAAAUUUUUUAUUUUCCUCACUAGUUUUCUAAUCGUUAUAAUGAAAAUGAGAAAAUCGGUUGGUUCAGUUUCUUGGUUUACGAUCUAGUUAGACACUUAUCCAAUAGUUAUUCUUUACAUAGAUAAGGGGUAGUUAUGACAAUUUACUAAGAGAAAGUGUCUACUUGGGCCAAAGUGUCUAUGAGAGUAAUUCAUAACUUGGAAUGUGUCUCUGAGAGUAAAUUUCUCUUAAAAAAUUCUAACAAAAUGAAUUCAGUUAGCAUUUAGCAGUGUGGUCAGACUUUGGCUACUUAUAAAAAACUACACUAUGUUUGCCUAAUUCGAGACAAUCAUUUAAUUUUAAAAUAUUAGAAUUUGAUGACACACUAUCUUAUAAAGUUGUAAUAAUAACUUUUAAUUUGAAUAAAAAUAAACUUAGGGACGUGAACAAAAGUAUUUAGACGAAGAAAUCAACAUUGAUACAACAAGCAGUUAUUUUACGGCAAAAAGUUAUUUUAACAAUUUUUUUCAACGAUUACUAUAUUAUCUUUAUUCUAUAGUCACCCACGAAGGUUGACUUGUGACAUUUGAAUCUGAACACGAUACCAAAAUUUCUCACGAGUAAGAGAGCAAGUUGUUUUGUCUUAAUUGCGGAUACACUUACUCCUCAAAUUAAAUACGGAGUAUAGUUUUUCCUCUUAUUGAAGACAUUAUAUUUUUAUUUUCUUUUUAUUAGAGUAACAUAAUUUUCGUUAUUUAUGUGCUUGUAAAUCAUCUGAUUCAUGCACUUAUAAAAAAUGUCUAUAUUAAGGCAGAGAUAAGAUCAAACAAAUACGUUUUCAAGAAAACGAAUCCUAAUUAAUGAUCCAGAAAAUUGGAAAACAUAAUUUGAAUUUUUUUUUUAAAGCAACAAUAAGAGAAUCACAAACAAAUGAAGCUCAGAUUGAUCCAAAAUCACUACUGACAAAUACCUAACCGAGAUAGAAGAGGCAGAAUGGACAAAAUAACAGCAUUCUGCAACCAUACAAUUGCCAAAUUAUAUAUAAACAUCCGAAAACAUAAUGAAAAGAAAAACGUACAUGAAUAUACAACAGUCUUCUUGUUAUGUGUGUGGGAUAUGAUAUGAUCAAGUGUUUAAGGUAUAUGUCAGAAGAGUGCAGAGAGAAAGGUCCUCUAGUUUCCUCUAUUUCUGGGGAAAAUGAAGAGAGAUGGAAGGAGAGGAAGUGAAAUGAGCGUUGAAGCUGUUGAUGAACAAGGACAAAGUGCAAGCGUUUUGAAACGACCAUUUAUAAGCGACUCUAUAAGAGAUAUUCCAUUUUAUGUUUCGGUAUAUUCUCCCUCUAGCGACGCCGUUUUCUAUCUUCAAUAUUUUUUCUCUCUUUUUAUUACAACUUUUAUUUCGCUGUAAUUAUUCUUUUAUUAUCUAAAAACAGCUGUUUUACUAUAAUAAUAAGUUCUUGUUUUGUACUUGUAAUUGACCAUGAACUGUACUUAGAUACGGAGGUUUUGAUGUAUUUUUAUAAUAUUAAAUUGGGAUCUUCAACAUUAAGUACAAUCACUAGAUACCUAUUCCCUGGCAUGCUAUUUAGGCAGAUAUAAGAUUUAAAUCAUAAUAGAGUCAAAAUAGGGGUUAAAAAAUGAGAGACUUACAUAAAAAGACACAUUGUGAGUUUUGUUUACUCUAUAAGACACAAAGCAACUUUGACACACUUUUUCCUGCCAGCUGUCUUUAUUGAGACGGAAAUAACCUUGGUUAUUACUAAAGAGAAAUAUACUUAUUUUAAGGAAGCAAACCGAAAAAGAACCAGUUACCUUGUAAUUGCAAUAAAGGAUAAAGCAAUAAAACAAAAAAUUAGAUAUAUGAGUUUAUGAGAAUAUAUCGUGAACGUCAGAUCAUUUUGAAGAAAGCAAAUCCAAUGAUCCGGAGAUGUGUUGAUUUGUGGGCGAGUUUUUGUGGACGAAUUCUCAUGGACAAGGUUUCUCGUAGACAAUUUGUGGACACCAUAUAUGUGGACAAACAAAUUGGUAGACAAGAGAAGCGUUGAUAACAUGAUUUUAUCGAAUGUUAUAGAAAAUAAUUGCCUUCUUUGUCUGUCUAAGAAAAAAAUGAGAAUUGUUUAUUAACUUCUUGUAUACUCGAUUUAGAUAUUUAUAAAUUGAAUAAAGAAGAAAUUUUUUUGUGAAUCAAUGAAUUAUGGAUCUAAUUCGUCAUUUAGUAAAAUUUCUCUAUAAAAUCAUUCAUCAUUCAUCAUUAUCAUGAAACAACGAUUAAGCUUUUCUGUGGACACAAUUCAGUGGUCGAACACACUUCUGUGGACACAGUUUAUGUGGACGUGAAAAUGUUACAAAAUUUUCUGUGGACACCGUAUCUACCACCACCUUUUCCACCUCAUGUCUUCCACCUCAUAUUCACAUCCACCACCACAACAUCCACCAACACGGCAUCCACCACCACUUCCUCCUCCUCGCAUCUUCCACCUUUGUAUCCACAUCCACCACAACAGCAUCCACAGCCACGACAUCCACCACCACAUCCUCCUCCUCACGUCUUCCACCUCCGUAUCAACAUCCACCACCAUAGCAUCCACCAUCACGGCAUCCAUAAUCACCAUCAGCUCUUCAUCCUCACGUCUUCCACCUCUGUAUCCACAUCCACCACAACGGCAUCCACCACCACCUCCUCCUCUCGAGUAGCCACCUCCACCACUGUUUUUACCCUCAUGAACCAAGAUAAAAAAUCAGACAAGAAAUUAACUUUCCAUAUAUGAAUCUGUUAGAUAUAUCUAUGAAAUUAGGAACAUAGAGUUAUGAUUGAGAAUGGAUUGGAGUUUCUGAAUUCAUGGUGUGACUCACCAAUGGUCGAGUAUGAAGAGUUGGCGGAACAGUUUCAGAUCGAACAAAAACUAGAAGUGGAGACAUAAAGCUUCAACAAAGUGAUGGAGAUGUCGAAUUUGAGAAAGUGGAUUAGGGUUCGGAUCGAUCUGUAGUUUUAGUAGAAGUUGGUAAAGAGCCAAAAUUAGGGUUCAUAUCUGGGGGUAAUCGAUUUUGAAAAGGGGAUCUGUCUUACAAAAGUGAAAAAGAUUUUAUUAUAUUUCGAAAUUUUUUAUUUUCCUCACUAGUUUUCUAAUCGUUAUAAUGAAAAUGAGAAAAUCGGUUGGUUCAGUUUCUUGGUUUACGAUCUAGUUAGACACUUAUCCAAUAGUUAUUCUUUACAUAGAUAAGGGGUAGUUAUGACAAUUUACUAAGAGAAAGUGUCUACUUGGGCCAAAGUGUCUAUGAGAGUAAUUCAUAACUUGGAAUGUGUCUCUGAGAGUAAAUUUCUCUUAAAAAAUUCUAACAAAAUGAAUUCAGUUAGCAUUUAGCAGUGUGGUCAGACUUUGGCUACUUAUAAAAAACUACACUAUGUUUGCCUAAUUCGAGACAAUCAUUUAAUUUUAAAAUAUUAGAAUUUGAUGACACACUAUCUUAUAAAGUUGUAAUAAUAACUUUUAAUUUGAAUAAAAAUAAACUUAGGGACGUGAACAAAAGUAUUUAGACGAAGAAAUCAACAUUGAUACAACAAGCAGUUAUUUUACGGCAAAAAGUUAUUUUAACAAUUUUUUAAAAAAAAUUAGUGAUUUUUGAUAUGUACAAAACUUUUUUAAAGUGAAAGAAGAGUAACUGCAUGAUAUCUAUAUCUACAGAGUACAUACUACAAUGUCAACUGUACUUAUUUGGGUAUGGCCAGGCCGUAUGGGAAUAACACCUAUUGUAAGGCUCAUCACUUGUGGAAUGGUAUGUUUCGUAUCUGACAAGUAAGAGACUUUAAUGCAUUUCCAGAAAUACAAGUGUAUCUUGCUUAGUUGUUUUAGCCCAGCAAGCUACCUUCUUUCUCUUCCGUGACCCAACAAGUUUUUUUUUCAUGGCAUCUUAAUUUCCAUCUAUUAUUAUUAUGUACUUAUGUAGUAAUAUUUUAUACAAUAAUGACCCUCGUUUUUAAUGAUUUAUAAAAUAAUUCAAUGGUGUUAAAAAAAAUACAAUAAUACUACUCCCUCCGUUCCCUAAAAUUACAUAUUAUAGAGAAAAAUCUUGUUUCAAAAAAAUCUAUUUUUUACAUUUUCAAUACAUAUUUUAUUAAUUAAUUGCAAACUUCAAAAAACUUAAUUGCACUAGUUGAAUUUUUAUUGGUUUAAAAUUAUGAAAAAAGAUAAACACAAAAAAAUAUAUAAAUUUAAUAUGUUUUAUUAAAAUGUGUGAAAAAUUUAGAAUAUGUAAUUUUAAGGAACAGAGAGAGUAUUUAGUAAUGCUCUAUAGUCUAUAUACAUGUCUUUCACGUGAAAUAAUUUCGUGAUGGAGUUAUACAAUCACAAUUUCUUUUCAUUUGGCGAAAACAUUAUGAAAUCUACACCAGUUGAUUUCAUAAUCUAUUUUAUUAAAGAAGACCCAAAACUGAAAUGUUUGAUCCAUAAAAAUGCUGGUUUAUGGUACACUAAAAACAUAUUGGAAUAAUAAUGCAUAUCUAUCUGCUGCUAAACCGUUUCGAUUACAUAGCAAAACGCAUAAAAUGGUAAACAAAUUUACAACUAAUAUAGUACGUAUGCUACGUUGAAAAAAUCACAUAAGCACAUGAAAUUAGCUACAGACUUACGAGCUACAUAUUUCCAAGCUUCUACAGAUGGAAAAUUGUCAACCUGAUUGCUCAACUAUCAUUCAAUUUUCAUGACAUUUCAAGAUGUUAUUCCUUCAAUUCAUGAUGACUUUUGUUGUAAAAACACAAGAUUUCAAGGCCUUACGUUCUUCGCAUGGUGCAAAAACGAUAUUUAUUUUUAGAUGAUAUGAUGGAUUAUGGGUUCCUGUGUUCGACCGAUGAUUACGAUCCCAAAGCGAUUUUUUUUUAGAAUAGUAAAAAUGUUUUGAUUUCCUCGUUACUUACUUAUAAAUUAUUAGUAUAUUUUAGAAACUUGGUUUCAAAAAACUGUUUAUAAAUUAUUGUAUUCUUUUAUUUUCUUCCUGCCUAGACGUUAGCAAGUAGUACCAACAAACAAAAUAUAUUAAAAUUGAUGGCUUGACUCUAUCCAUAUCAGAGUUGACUAAUUAAAUGUUGAUGUCUUUGGUAUGACAUAUUACGUCGAUGUGUUGAAAUGUUAUUGCUUGUAAAGGUGACUUCUCUGUCCAUAAUUCCAUCGUUCACAUUGGACGGAUCCUUUUUCUAGUUACGGAAGGUCUAAUCAAUUAAUCACACGAUUAUUAUGUAAAUUAUAUGUCUGUUAGAUGAAGCAUUUAAUCCUCUGCAUCCACACAUGGAGACCAUUAAUAGCAAGAGAAAACGAAUACAAUCUUAGUACCCUUCACAUCAUGAGAUUAUAACCAGUUUUUUGGAGUUGAUUUUGAAACGUUUAGACUUUAUUCAAGUAUAUGAGUACAAAUUAGAGCAUCCCCCUAAGAGGAAAAGCUUGAUAAAUAGAUUGAGGACCACAAGAAGUUGUGGCUCCGGCGUUAUCUUAUCAUUAAUGUUUGAUUCAUGUAGAAAAAUAUAUACAAGAUAUUUUGAAUUUAUGCCUAGUCCAUCAAUCUAUGCUACUCCAUUCAUCCAUAUGUAAAAUCCGAAAGGAUUAUUAAAAUUUAUUGACCAUGUGUAACUCAUAAAUCUUAGGUUUGUAACAAUCAAUUCACCAUUCAGAUAUUUAACUACUAAUUCAGUAAUUAUUAUUCGGCACUGGAUUUCAGUAACUACCUCACUUGUUGCAUUAAUAAAAAAACAAUGAAGAAGAACAUUUCUUUUUAAAAUCGAUACACAAACAUUUUGAUUUCAAUAGCGUUAGAACAUCAAAAUAUCAAACAUCAAAAUAUCAAAAUAUCAAACGAAGAACAACUUAAGUUGAUAGAAACAAAAAGACUUAUUAAAUCAAACUACACAAUGGGGACCGUUCUACUAUCACUUGUUGUGUUCUCAUUGUCUUCAUUUUCACCGGACAUUUCCUCGAGCGACUUCCCUUUAGAUUCAGGCACCAAGAAAGUGAAGAGGAUGCCCAAGAAGUUAACAACACCUAACACGAGAAGCGAGUUUCUGACUCCAAUCCCUGGAGGAUAUCCUGCGUCUGUCUUGUUCUUGUCAGGGCUUUGAGCCAAGUACAAGAAUCCAAAGGCACCAACCAUGGCACCUAACUUUCCUGAUGCAGCAGAGAUACCAUGGCAGGUAGAUCUGAACCUGGCUGGGAAGAUCUCCGCCGGUACAACGAAGGUUGUAGCAUUGGGUCCAAAGUUAGCAAAAAAGAACGUCAAAGAGUACAUGAUAACGAAUCCAAUUCGGUUCUCCUUGUGAGUCCAGUGGUUGUACGGAAUAGCCAAAGCAAACAUAAAGACCGUCAUGAAGAAGAAUCCCAUCAUCUGAAUCGCAAACCUUCCAAUGACGUCUAUAAAAGCAACUGUGAACCAGUAACCAGGUACCGUGCUACACAAGGCAAUGAGAGUUUGCGCGCGUGCGAUCUUGAAAACUUCUUGAAUUGCGUUCAUAGUUUGAGCCGGAGGUAUCCACCCGAUUGCGCUGAAAAUAUCUUUUUGGAAUAGGUUUUGACUGUAGAAAGCGAUGUCGAGAAGGAACCAUGUUGAUGUAGUUCCUAGCAAAUGAAGUCCAUGGCGUUUCAUAAAUUCCUUGGAAAACAAGGAAAAGGCUUUGGACUUAUUAUUUGAGAUCUCUUCCACUUUCUCCUGUUCUGCCUCUAUCUCCACUUGAAGAACCCUAGACAUGUCUGAAGCAGCCAGCUUUGCGUCCUUAGCAACCAAAGCUGUGUAUCUUGCGGUUUCAGGCAUCUUGGACCUUGAGUAAUACGUCAUGGCCGCAGGGAUAGCACCAACCAUCAAGAUUAUACGCCAUACAAGAUCUGCUUGAGGUACCGUGGAUCUCAAGGCAUCUUCCGCAUAGGCCGGGGCAGGGAACUUAGCUUCAAAAGCAGAGGAGAUAAUUAUAGCAAAGAUGCCACCAGCCAUGAUCCCAAACCCUUGCAUAGCGAAAACCGCAGAAACAAACGCUCCACGAGUUUUCUUGUUAGCGUAUUCAGACAUGAUUGUUGCGGACAAAGGAUAGUCACCACCAAUCCCAAACCCUAGCCAAAACCUAAAGAAACAUAGCGUGGUCAUCACGGCUUUUGGCUCGUGUCCGAAAGAGAGACCAGAGGCUACGGAGCAAAGGACCAUAACCAUCAACGUCAUUCCAUAAACUUUCUUCCUCCCAAGCUUAUCUCCAAGCCACCCGAAAAAGAGUUGACCGGCUAGGGUUCCACAGAAGGCGACGCCGUUCACGGCAGCAGCAACAUUGGGAGGGAGAGUCCCUGGCUUUGCGGAGCCUGGGACGUGGUAGUAAAUGCGACCGAGGAGCUUGGUGACGAGAGAGAUGCAGAAGAGAUCGUAAGCGUCGGUGAAGAAUCCCAUUCCAGCGAUUAUGAUGGCUGUAAAAUGGUACCAUUGCGUCUUCGCUACAUCGAGUGCGUUCAACACUUUUAACUGAUCCCCUGCCAUUCUUGUUCACCUCUGUAAUGUCAUCAAUAACUCAAUAUUAGCAACUUUGAGUAACAAUGAAUCAUAUAGGAAGAUUUUAUGAUUAUAAAAGUCGAGUCAAGAGUUUUUAAAGAUUAAAAAAAAAAGAGUUUUUAAAGAUUUUGUUAAGCCAUAUUACACACAUAAAAAUAAUUAUGUAUUCAAAUAAUUGAUUCCUAAUUUUUCGACUAAAAUUUUCCGAAAAAGUAAUUAAAAUAAUUUCCUAUAGUUUUGGUUUCUUUAGGCCGACGUGACCAAUUAUUUAAAAGUAAACGAGGAAAUGGGAGAUCCAUAUAUUUAUUUGAAUUUUCAACGAUUACUAUUCUGUCUUUAGUCUAUAGUUACCCACAAAGGUUGACUUGUGACACGAUACCAAGUUACCAACACUUGUGCGAGAGUAAGACAGCAAGUUGGUUUGUCUUAGUUGCGGACACACUUGGUCAUCAAACUAAAUAUAGUAUUCCCUCUUAUUGAAGACACUUAUUGAAGUUAUUAUAUUUUUCUUUUCUUUUUUUAUUAUAGUAACAUGAUUUUCGUUACUAAUUUGUUUGUGAAUAAUUGGAUCCAUGCACUCAACAGACAGAUGUCUUCUAUUCAGGGAAAGAUAAGAUCAGACAAAUACGUUUUCAUGAUGAAUAAUCCUAAUUAAUGAUCCAAGAAAAUUGGAGAACACAAUUCGAUAUCGUCCUAACUCCUAACUAACAUCAUUUUGCAUCCAGACAGUUACCAAAUUAUAUAUAAACAUCCAAAAACACAAAUGAAAAGAAAGACUUACAUGAAUAUACAACAAUCUUCUUUUUACGUGUGUUAGAACUAAUCUGAUCAAGUGUUUAAGGUAUAUGUCAGAAGAGUGCAGAGAGAAAUGAUCAUUAAUUUCUGGGGGGAAAUGUAGAGAGAGAGAGAGAGAGAGAGAGAGGCAGAGGAAGUGAAAUGAGCGUUAAAGCUAUUGAUAACAAGGACAAAUUGUAAGCGUUUUGAAACGAGCUUUUAUAAGCAACUCCAAUGACAUAUUCCAUUUUCUGUUUCGGUAUAUUCCCCUCCAACGACGCCGUUUUUGUUGUCUUUAAUAUGUUUCCUCUCUUUUUGUUACAACUUUUUAUUUUACUUCGUUUAGGUAUUAUUAGGACAGGAUGCUUCUGUUUUGCUGUAAUUAUUCUUUUUAUUAUCUAAAACAGCUGUUUCACUAUAAUAAAAAGUUCUUGUUUUUGUACUUGUAGUUGACCAUGAAUUGUGUUUACAUUUACGGAGCUUUUAAAAUAUUGGGACUUCACCAUUCAAUACAGUCACUAGAUGCCUAUUCCCUGGCAUGUUAUUGAGGCAGAUAUAAGUUUUAAAUCCUGAUAUAGUCAAAAUAGAUGUAAAAACAAAAUAAAUAUUUAUAAAAAAUGAAUUCAAUUAGCAGUGUGGUCAAACUUUGAUUACUUAUUAAAAAACUACACUAUGUUGUCUAAUUCGAGACAAUCAUUAAUUAAAAAUAUUAAGAAUUUCAUGACACACUACCUUAUAAAUUUUUAAUAAUAACUAGAAAAUUAAAUAAGAAUAAACUUAGGGACGUGAACAAGAUAAUUUAGAAGAAGAAAUCAAGUUUGAUGCAACAAGCAGAUUUUCUUGACAAUACAGCAAACACUUAUUUUAAUUUUGUUCAGUGAUUUAUUUUUUGAAUUGAAUGUUAAAUUUAAUUCAAAAGAAAAUUUUUUUUUACAUUAUAGUGUUUCUUCUACCAAAAAACUAUGUACUUAAGCUCUAACCCUUCCCCCAUGAUUACUCAACCAAACUCAAAGUAUUUCUAUCUUGUGUAAAACCUGAAUUGCAUCCCUUUCCUAAAUUUAUUAUCUCCUUUCAUCCGUAUCAAUGUGAGUUUGUUCCUCGUAUUUUUGUCAAGAAGUUUUAUCAAUAGCGCUGCUGGAGCAUUUGCCUCGCCAUGUCUUCUUCUAUUACGCUCUCUCCAUAUCAUGUAGACGGCUGCUUGAAGCAUAUACUUGAUGAGGAAUAAUUGCAUCUUACAUCUUGUCGAAUCUCUCAAGAGCCUCAAUAUAGCUACCCAUCUCACCGUGUAUUGAUCCUUUAAGAUACCCUUCAUUAGUACCUCCUAUAUCUGAGCAGAAUAACUACAUUCAAAGAACAAAUGCUCAAGAGUUUCCAAUGCUCAUUGCACAGGACACACGUUUCAUUUGUAUUACUCUUCCAAAUUCUUAUCUUAUCUCCUGUUGCUAGUCUUCCCUUCAUUGCCAUCCAUAAGAUAAACGAGUAUCUUGGAGUUAAAUACUUAAACCACACUGCAUCAACCCAGUCACAUAGUAGUUUUUUUCUCUCUAAUAAACUCCCAAAUUUCCUUAGUGAUUUUUGAUAUGUAGGGACUUUUUUCAGGCGAAUAAUAACUGCAUGAUAUGUAUAUCCAGAGACCUAGACUACAAUGUCAAUGGUAUUUAUUUAUUUUAUAGUGUAAUUAAUGGCCGUAUGGGAAUAACACCCUAUUGUAGGGUGUGAGUAAGGCUCAUGACUUGUGGAAUGGUCAGUAAGAGACUUUAAUGCUUCUCCAGUGUAUAUUGCUUAGUUGCUUUAAGCCCAGCAAUCUUCUUUCUCUUCCGUGACCCAGCAAGUUUUUUUCAUGGGGUCUUAAUUUCCAUAUAUUCUUAUGUAAUGUGUUAUACAGUAAUGACCCUUGUUUUUUAAAAAUGAUUUAUACAAUAAGUAUAACACUAUAGUAAUGCUCUCUCUAUAUAUGUAUGUCUUUCACGUGAAAGAAUUUUAUGGUGAUGUGUGAAAGAAUUUUAUGGUGGAGAUGUAUAUAUAUACACAAUUUUUUCAUUUAUGAUUGACGAUAAAUUUGAAAUACAUACUUUGCAUCAUUUAUUGUUUUCCUUAUCAAUACCGUUUCUUUCGACUUAUAGGAAAUAUGACUGCAAACUUUAGAAGAAAAUGCGUGUGGUUUCGAGAACUAGAAAUUGGCUUAUUAUCGACCGACUUCGUAACGUGUUUGUAACACUGGGCUCUAUUAAAGACAUACGGCGACAACAUACUAAAUUUACACCAGUUGAUUACAUUGAGUACUGUUCAUUAAAGACGAGCGAAAAUGAUUUUUUUUUGUAAUAAAAAAAUGAAUGUUUGAUGUACAUAGUCACUUUGAAAUGUACGUAACGUUAACACCCAAUCCACAUUUUGGAAUAUUGUCAAAACUAAAUCCGCUAUAUCUCACAAAAUAGAAAACCAGUUAUAGAUAUAGACUUACACUUCCAUUUAAAGUUUGGAGGGGAAACAUUUCUGAUAAAUGAGAUUGAAGGUAAUACAGUUCCUUCUCCGAAGAGAAGGAUGCUAGAGAUCAUGGAGAUAUCCCGGUAAACCCACGGUAAAUUAACAAUCAAUCAAUUCUUCCCACAAAAGAAAUAAAGGAAUUGAAUACAAACUAUCUUCGGUAUUGUGUAUGAUAAAUAAGGCAAUUGUUUAUUUCAGUUCAUGUGAUUUUCUGUAUGAUAAAUCAAUAGGACCCGACAAUACUAUUGUCUCCUUCUUUUUCUUCCCGCCUAAAACGUUAGCAGUACCAACAAACGAAAAAAAUAAAUUUGAUUGCUUGACUCUAUCCAUAUCAGAGUUGACUAAUUAAAUGUUGAUGUUUUUGGUAUUGAAAUCUUACGUCCAUGUGUUGAAUUGUUAUUGCUUCUGAAGUUGACUCUAAUGUCCACUUUCCAUCGUUCACAUUGGACGGAUCCUCUACAAUUUACGCAAGGUUUAAUCGACUAAUCAAAUUGUCACGUCAAUUAUAUGUCUGUUAGAUAUUUUUUAAUCUAAUAACAGAGUUCGAUCUAUACUAUUAAAAGGGAAUCACUCCUAAAAAAUCUAAUUAAACAAGGUUGUUGGACCAUUUCAUUAGACUUAACUAUUUAUUUGGUCUUAACUUAUAUUUCUCUAACUAUAUAAAUACUUUACAUAAUUUAAAUGAAUUCAUUUAUUAUUUUCUCAUAAUCUAUUAUAUAAUUGCUCUAACAAUAAAUCCAUCUUGCGGUUUCAGGCAUCUUGGACCUUGAGUAAUACGUCAUGGCCGCAGGGAUAGCACCAACCAUCAAGAUUAUACGCCAUACAAGAUCUGCUUGAGGUACCGUGGAUCUCAAGGCAUCUUCCGCAUAGGCCGGUGCAGGGAACUUAGCUUCAAAAGCAGAGGAGAUAAUUAUAGCAAAGAUGCCACCAGCCAUGAUCCCAAACCCUUGCAUAGCGAAAACC
rnacentral:lncRNA from 1 species